GUAUCGGAGAAGGUGAACAAGUUUGUAAAUUGUCAAAAAAUAAACAUUUGAGAUUUCAAAUGUGUAUCAUAAUUAUUUUAGUAGAGGUUACUCCUGGUGACACUUGAUCAACAAUGCCAAGCAUUAGAGCUCCAUCAUCAAAAAGGACUACAAGUUUAUUGGUGGCAGUAAAAUGUAGGCCAUUGACUGAAGUAGAACAAAAGCAGUGCAUGCAUAUUAUUCAAGUCUUGACAUGUCAAAGGGCUAUCUUGACCUCAUACAA